GCCUCUUGCAUACAAUGAAUAAGAGGUCCCGCCUGCCCUGUGACCCUAGUUUAACGGCCGCGGUAUUUUGACCGUGCAAAGGUAGCGCAAUCACUUGUCUUUUAAAUGAAGACCUGUAUGAAUGGCAUAACGAGGGCUUAACUGUCUCCUUUUUCCAGUCAAUGAAAUUGAUCUCUCCGUGCAGAAGCGGGGAUAACCCCAUAAGACGAGAAGACCCUAUGGAGCUUCAGACAACACAAUGGACCAUGUUAACAAACCUUACACAACAAGAAUAAACCAAUUGGGACCCAUUUCAAUGUCUUUGGUUGGGGCGACCGCGGGGUAAUAAAAAACCCCCACGUGGAUAAAGAGAACUUUCUCUUAUAACCAAGACUGACAAGUCUAAGUACCAGAACAUCUGACCAAAAAUGAUCCGGCAAUGCCGAUCAACGAACCGAGUUACCCUAGGGAUAACAGCGCAAUCCUCUCCUAGAGCCCAUAUCGACGAGGGGGUUUACGACCUCGAUGUUGGAUCAGGACAUCCUAAUGGUGCAGCCGCUAUUAAGGUUCGUUUGUUCAACGAUUAA
rnacentral:rRNA from 1 species